rnacentral:tRNA from 1 species
AUUAAGAUGACCGAGUUUAGGUGGCAAGCUGUAAAUUUGCUAACGAUUUUAAAUCUCUUAAUA